rnacentral:lncRNA from 1 species
AUGACCAUCCAGAACCAUCCAGAACCAUCCAGAACCACCCAAAGGCCUCCAAGAACCUUUGGAACUCCUCCAGAACCAUCCAGAACCUCCGAAACCACUACAAGGACACCUCUGGAUCCAUUCCAACCUCUCCAGAACCUCCAGAACCGCUCCAAGGACCCCUCUGGAUCUCCUCCAGGACCACCCAGAACUUCUGGAACUUCUCCAGAGCCUCCAGAACUCCUCCAGAACCGCUCUGAGGACUCCUCUGGAUCUCCUCCAGAACUUCUGGAACUUCUCCAGAGCCUCCAGAACCGCUCUGAGGACUCCUCUGGAUCCCCUCCAGAACUUCUGGAACUUCUCCAGAACUCCUCCAGAACUCCUCCAGAACCUCCAGAACUGCUCCAAGGACCCCUCUGGAUCUCCUCCAGGACCACCCAGAACUUCUGGAACUUCUCCAGAACCUCCAGAACUCCUCCAGAACCUCCAGAACUGCUCCGAGGGCCCCUCUGGAUCUCCUCCAGAACUUCUGGAACUUCUCCAGAGCCUCCAGAACCUCCAGAACCACUCCAAGGACCCCUCUGGAUCCCCUCCAGAACCUUUGGAACUCCUCCGGAACCUCCAGAACCGCCCCGAGGGCCCCUCUGGAUCCCCCCAAGGCUUCCAGAACCAUCCGGAACCUCCAGCAGCAGCUCCAGGGACUCCCCCGGCGGCUCCGGGUGCAUUUUAAGCUUCACUCGCGUCUAUUUUUAAGCUCAGAUGGUUUCAAAGAUAUUUUUUUAAAACUCCUCGUCCACGGACGCCCCUCGGGAAUUUUCUUUGGGAAUUUCGGAUCCCCCCGAGCCUGCCCAUCCCAAAGGGGAUUUGAUUUAAUUUAAUUUAAUCUAAUUUAAUUUCAUUUUAUUUUAUUUUAUUUUAUUUUAUUUUAUUUUACUUUAUUUUAUUUUAUUUUAUUUUCUAAACAUUUAAUUUAAUUUUGUUUUUCAAGAUUUUAUUUUAUUGUAUUAUCUUAAUUGUUCAUUAUUAAUCUAACUUUAUUUUAUUCAUUAACUUUACUCCAUUUAUUUUAUAUUAAUUUAACU